GACGAACGCUGGCGGCAUGCCUAACACAUGCAAGUCGAACGAGAUCUUCGGGUCUAGUGGCGCACGGGUGCGUAACGCGUGGGAAUCUGCCCUUUGGUUCGGAAUAACAGUUGGAAACGACUGCUAAUACCGGAUGAUGACGAAAGUCCAAAGAUUUAUCGCCAGAGGAUGAGCCCGCGUAGGAUUAGCUAGUUGGUGUGGUAAAGGCGCACCAAGGCGACGAUCCUUAGCUGGUCUGAGAGGAUGAUCAGCCACACUGGGACUGAGACACGGCCCAGACUCCUACGGGAGGCAGCAGUGGGGAAUAUUGGACAAUGGGCGAAAGCCUGAUCCAGCAAUGCCGCGUGAGUGAUGAAGGCCUUAGGGUUGUAAAGCUCUUUUACCCGGGAUGAUAAUGACUGUACCGGGAGAAUAAGCUCCGGCUAACUCCGUGCCAGCCGCCGCAGUAAGAC
rnacentral:rRNA from 1 species